rnacentral:lncRNA from 1 species
CGCGGGGCGGCCCGGCGCGGAGGGGAGGAGGCGCCGCUCCCGGCGUGUGACUCGCAGCCGUGCGGCUGGGAGUCCGACGUGGCGGUCGGCGCCGCUCUUGGCGAGCCUCCAGGGGUGACCUAAUUGGACUCGGCGUGGGCCUUUGAGUCACCCCGCAGGCUUGUUGCGCUUCUGCGGACAGGGCGGCUCAAGCUGGGUUUGUCAGGCUCUGCCUCCUAAAUGUCCCAUGACCUCCCCCAACAGCACCACCAACUGGGGAGUAAGUGUUCAAAUACCAUAGACUACCAGGGACACUUUAAUUCAAACCACCAGAGGUGGCCCAGCAAGAAGCAUGAUGGACAGGGUGGCCAUGGAGACUCUGAGCCUCCCAAGGUAAAAGAGUUACCGAAGGCUUACCUCCUGACUUCGCUGAGGGGCAUUUUUGAAGACUGAAGAGAAGCAGGGAAUUUCAGCAACAUCUUUUGAUUCAGCUAACAUCUGUGGAUGGCUUAUUACUUUUCCGGGACUGAACUGGUUCCUCCUAGUACUCCGAGAACUCAGCUGCCAAGUUCCUCCAUAUUGAAAUGUUCCCUGCUGGAGCGGGGAAGGAGCCGUGAGACUCAGGGAGUUAGCUAACCUUGCAAAUCUUGGAGACUGAAGAGCGCAAGGUUCCCAAGGCCUUCCCCAAUGUGAUAGAGGCAAUAAGAAGUCAUUGAGGAGGAGACCGACUUGCCUGGAGGAGGGGUGCCAAGCUGUCCAGCCAUUGACAGCUCAUUUCUGAAAGUUCAGUGCACGGGAAGCUCUUCAGAAUGACGCUCAAAACCCUGCUUUGGAGCAGCAGCUCAGAGCCGUGACACCUAGAGCACUGGACUGCCUCUGAAGCUUCAGCUGAACCACAAAUGCAAGCCAAUGAAGACCUGCCUGACAGCAAUCCCUGGACACCCUAGAAAGAAAAUGGGCCACACCUCCUCGACUGCACUGGAUCCAACUUGCUCCAUUUCAGCUGACACUCCGGCCAGAGGUUUGGGUACUGACUUCAAUCAAGUUGAGGAUUUCAAGCGAGAUCUUCAAUCAAGUGAAUCCCAUCUAACAUGGACUGGAUACUAACAUUUUCUUUCUACAGGACCCCACAUGACUAUCAUCGUCCCAUUUCAGCAGGAAGUAACUUGGAAAAUGCUACGCCCCCUUUCCCCAUUGUUGUCACUUAGGAUAGUGUAUAUACCUAGUUAGGAAUAGCUUCCUAUUGUUUAUGACUUUAGGGUUUAGUUAAAAUAGAUAGUUAUCUUCUUAUAUUUUACCUUUAUACUGUUAAGUUUUAAUCCUCUUUUAGACUAAAAGGGGAAUUGUAGGGGAAGCUGUAGCCACGCCUUCUUAGGGGCUGGCUACAAGAGUACCUGAGGGCUUGUGAGGGCAUGGUCAGAGUGAGUAGGGGGACUGCGUUUUCAGUUUCGGUUUCUCUUUGCUUCUUGCUGUACAGACUACCACCGGCUGGCUGGUUCGCUCUGUAAGUAAGGCUUUUCCCUAUUAAAUACCCUUAUAUUUCUACCUGACUCCGUACUGGUAAUUUCUUACUAUAAUCUGCAAGAGCAGCAAGUGCUCUAAAUCCUGGGCCAUCCUGCAACAGUG